UGAAUUAGAAGCUCUAAGAAGCAUUUAGCUGUUAACUAAAAAGGAAUAAUUAUUAUUAUCUAUUCAG
rnacentral:tRNA from 1 species